UGCCUCCCGGAAGUGGAGCCCCGGGCGGGGGGCGUCUCCGACCUUUGCGCGGCGGCGGCGGCGGCGGCGGCGGGAGUCGGGAGUCAGAUGCGGUGGAGCAACGCCGGAGAUGGCUUCGGCUGGAGGCGGCGACUGCGAGGGCGCCGGGCCCGAGGCGGACCGCCCUCACCAGCGGCCCUUCUUGAUCGGCGUGAGCGGCGGCACCGCGAGCGGCAAGUCCACUGUAUGCGAGAAGAUCAUGGAGCUGCUGGGACAGAAUGAAGUGGAUCACCGGCAGCGCAAGCUGGUCAUCUUGAGCCAAGACAGGUUCUAUAAGGUCCUGACUGCGGAGCAGAAGGCCAAGGCUUUGAAAGGACAGUACAACUUCGACCACCCAGAUGCUUUUGAUAACGAUUUGAUGCACAGGACUCUGAAAAACAUCGUGGAGGGCAAAACGGUCGAGGUCCCCACCUAUGAUUUUGUGACCCACUCAAGGCUUGCGGAGACCACGGUGGUCUACCCUGCAGACGUGGUCCUGUUUGAGGGCAUUCUGGUCUUCUACAGUCAGGAGAUCCGGGACAUGUUCCAUCUGCGCCUCUUUGUGGACACUGACUCCGACGUCAGGCUAUCUCGGAGAGUUCUCCGGGAUGUGCAGCGGGGCCGGGACCUGGAGCAGAUCCUGACGCAGUACACCACGUUUGUCAAGCCGGCCUUUGAGGAGUUCUGCCUGCCGGUACCGCCUUCCACUUGCCCAGGGACCUCCUUUCCCCCCUUGUCAGAAGGCCCCCCGGUGCCCAUUCUGAGAGCUGAGUCGUGGACGGACGCGGUCUGCUGUAUACGUGGAGAAGUUAGCCUCUCGUUCCCACAGUCCCAGGGAGUAGUCUCAGCUGGGAAUGGGUCCUUUGUCCCUCGCACCCCUCCUCCCCACACCAGGCUUCACCCCGUGCACCAGCGUCGCCUCCCCCCAGGCCCUCGUCUGCAUCUGUCCGGGGCACUGCUCGUCCACUGCCCACACUGUGCCUCUCCUUCCCCCCAGCCCUUCUGAACGGGAGCAGGGGGCCUCCGUGGGGGCAGGGAUCUCUGUCUGUUGGCUGCCAAAGUGUUGUCUGGCGCACAGUAGGUGCUUACAAACUUUCUCCACACUGUGUGUCUCUUGGGGGUGGAGGGAGGUCCCUCCAGUGUCGAGGAGGGAUUCACUGUGUGCGGCCGUCUGCCUUCUCCCUCUCGCCUCUCUCACUGGAUAGGAUGGCGGAGAGAUUCAAAGGGAAAUUUCACAGUAUCAUUUCCCAAAGGGUAAAGUGAGGUACAGAGGAAUUAGAAGCAGGAUUCCUGUUUUAGAUAUAUGGGACAAAGGAGUUCUGUCUUUGCUAGUUCAUGGAAACAUUUUAUUUUACAUUCAUGGUCUUGGAGUUUCUAGAAAAUGAUUAGGAAAUUGUUCCGCAGUCUCAUAUCCCCAGAAAGACACUUUUGAAAAGUAGGUGGUUUACCGUGAAGCUCUGGACACUAGAUGUGAUCGGGUGCCCCCGGAUGGAGGCAGAAGUGUGCUCAGCCAGUCCCUCCCCACCUUCACGGGGAGCCUCAGCGAGGUGACCGAGCUGCCCGUGUCCCGGUCACUAGGACCUUUCUCAGCCCUCUGCUGGUUGCCCUCGCCUGCCCGCACAGCCCAGCAGAGUGGCCCAGCCCGGUGGGAGUUCAGCCUUGGGUCUCCUCUGCCUGCAGACACGGCUGCCCUGGGACCCAGUCUGUCCCUGUUCCCCCCCGCCCCCGCGGCUCAUCUCUUGGGACAGGCCUCCUUGGCCGAGGCCCACACACUGGCGGUGCUCAGCCAUCUGCGGGCCCCCCUCCCCCGCCAGCAGCACUUGGGGGUCCCUCCUUGGCGGCACCAUAGUGCCAGACAGGAGUGGGCUACUCCGUGUGGGAGCAGAGGAGAGACGAAGCAGGAAGGGGAGCAGAUCCCGCGACUUCCUGCCUGGGGUGCAGCCCUGCUCUUGCAGGGUUCCACACCCUGUGCACUGGGAGGGUGCCCCACCUCAGCCGGCCCAGAGCACCCCGCGGUCAGCACAGACCACUGGCCCUGAUGGCAGUGCUCUCAGAGACGAGCGUCUCCGAGAAGCCGGCAGACGCGCACCAUCCCUUCCCGCUGCUUCGGACAAAGAAGUACGCAGACGUGAUCAUCCCUCGAGGGGUUGACAACAUGG